rnacentral:rRNA from 1 species
GACGAACGCUGGCGGCGUGCCUAAUACAUGCAAGUUGAGCGCUGAAGGUUGGUACUUGUACCGACUGGAUGAGCAGCGAACGGGUGAGUAGCGCGUGGGGAAUCUGCCUUUGAGCGGGGGACAACAUUUGGAAACGAAUGCUAAUACCGCAUAAAAACUUUAAACACAAGUUUUAAGUUUGAAAGAUGCAAUUGCAUCACUCAAAGAUGAUCCCGCGUUGUAUUAGCUAGUUGGUGGGGUAAAGGCUCACCAAGGCGAUGAUACAUAGCCGACCUGAGAGGGUGAUCGGCCACAUUGGGACUGAGACACGGCCCAAACUCCUACGGGAGGCAGCAGUAGGGAAUCUUCGGCAAUGGACGAAAGUCUGACCGAGCAACGCCGCGUGAGUGAAGAAGGUUUUCGGAUCGUAAAACUCUGUUGGCAGAGAAGAACGUUGGUGAGAGUGGAAAGCUCAUCAAGUGACGGUAACUACCCAGAAAGGGACGGCUAACUACGUG